rnacentral:rRNA from 1 species
UACGUAGGGGGCGAGCGUUGUCCGGAUUUAUUGGGCGUAAAGCGUCCGCAGGCGGUCAAGUAAGUUCGAGGUGACAGUGCGUGGCUUAACCGCGCAAGGUCCUUGAAACUGCUCGACUUGAGGGCUUGAGAGGGACCCGGAAUCCGGGUGGAGUGGUGAAAUGCGUAGAGAUCCGGAGGAACAGCCAAAGGCGCAGGCAGGGAUCCUGG